GAGUGAGACGCGCGGCGUUUUCAUGCGAGUAACAUCGAACAAUCCCGCGAGGCGGCGGUGGGCGGCGGAGGCUCACUUCACUUCCUCCUCUCGCCGCCGAUCGAGAGGCGCUCGAAGCACCGGAUAGCGGUGCCCCCCUUCGCUGCCGGCGGCGACCUGUCGUCCGCGGCGGCCGAGUGGUGGUGGUGGUGGUGGUGCCGCUGGGCGGCGGCGGGGGACGGGCGGUUGCUGCCGCUGCCGCUCGACACCCACCGGCCGGCCCGGUUCUGCUCGCCGCCGUCGCCUUUCGAGGAUGUCCCCCGGCUAGACGGGGUGGCGGCGGCGGCGGCGGUGGGCAUCUUCGCCGAGCUCCUGUUCCUGGAUAUGGUUCGUGUUCUCUCCGAAUCAACAACCUGAUUCACACGAAACAAAGUGAUGAACCAAAGGAAUCCGCGAGGCUUUUGUGCCUGGAAUUGUCUCCGAGGCGACCGGAACCCGGGUUUCUUCUGGCGAAGGCCUCAACAGCACCGGGAACGACAGUAGUGGAAAUAUGAGGUGAACUCUGAUGGAUAAGAUUUGCACAGAACCUGGUGAAAACAAUUUUAGUGCAUAUGCAUCUAGGAGUUGCCAAUAAUAGAAUGACGAACUUCGUGAUGGCAAGCAUCAGUACCUCUGCUGGGGGAUUCAGAGCAAAGCCCCUAUGUUGACGAAGUGAAUGCCAGUUGCUACGUGUUGGUAACAUAUGUGUUUGGGCUCAGAGCAAAGCCUCUAUGUCGACGGUGCGCUCAGGCUUCUUGGCAUGUCAGGCUCUGUACUCCUGGUACUUCCUUCGUCGUUUUCAGCUGGUGCUGGUGCUGGUGCUGGUUGCUCCUCUGCGUCGGGUGAAGAAUCUAUGGCAUCAACAGAAAGAAAAAAAAGAGGAGAAGAUAUCAAAUCAAAUGUGCCUUCUAAUUGAAGAAGAACACAACACUGCCAAGGCUCUUGAGGGAAUACCAAAGAGGGAUUUGGCGCUUGGUCUCUUAGCCUUCUCCUUCUUCUUCAACUCAGCUGUGUAGAAAGUAAAAGAGUAUUAAAGACUAGAACAUAUAUUGCAACUCAAUCAUGUGCCUCAAAUAGUUGGCCUUGUAUAGAAUUAUAGCUCCAAAUAGGAUGGAAGAAACAUAAUGCAGUUCUGGAAGAGACAUGCUCUAUGUCAUUAGGUUUGCACUGGUACUAUGAUAUUCUCGAGAAAGAAACAUGGUUACUUAUUGAGAAGAUGGGGAGUAGAGUACCCAUUCCAAGUACUUCAGGAUCAUUCACAAGUUCGAAGUUCUUGUACGUGUAGCCCACAAAAUUCAAAUCCUUUGAAGACAGCAUCUGCAAAAGACACAAUGGUGCUCCAGCUGUUCUUGCUGCGUGCGUUUGGGCAUAGAUUGCUGUCUCCCAUCACCAUUUGUUGACUGUGGUUUUGUAGACGUAACAUCCUUCUCAUUCAGGUCUGGGAAGUUGGAAUAAUCUAGUGGUUUGCAUA